rnacentral:rRNA from 1 species
UACGAAGGGAGCUAGCGUUGUUCGGAAUCACUGGGCGUAAAGGGCGCGUAGGCGGUGCCUCAAGUCAGGCGUGAAAGCCCCGGGCUCAACCUGGGAACCGCGCUUGAGACUGGAGUACUAGAGUUCGGGAGAGGAUGGUGGAAUUCCCAGUGUAGAGGUGAAAUUCGUAGAUAUUGGGAAGAACACCGAUGGCGGAAGGCAGCCAUCUGGACCGACACUGACGCUGAGGCGCGAAAGCGUGGGGAGCAAACAGG